rnacentral:ncRNA from 2 species
AUGAAGGGUUCGGGAGAGAGUUCACUGUUAACCGCCGAAGGUAUAAAUUGUAGCGAUGCCUGCUACAGCUAAAUUCUCAGGCAAAAGGACCGUACCCAGACA